UAAUAAUAAUAAUAAUAAUAAUAAUAAUAAUAAUAAUAAUAAUAAUAAUGCAGUAAAAAACAAACAGAGUGACGGUCCACUGUGGAGCCCGUGGUCGGAGGUUGGUUACAGAGCGGCUGUGCGUGUGUGCGCGUGUGUGCAAGCGUGUGCCUGCGUGUGUGUGUGUGUGUGUGCGUAGAGUCGCUCCUACAUACCAAGGCUGCACACGUUCGUUUCCCUGGAGCUAAUCCGGAAGUUACACUUACAGUUGCCAGUUACCUACCGCCUGUUGGUCAUGUCUGUGUUAGUGUAGUGUGGAUAUGAUGCGGUCAGCUGGAGGAUGAAUGGAUGAAUAGUGACUGAAACUGCUGUUGUCUCAGCCUCAUCAUGCCCGUCCACAGGAGACAGCCCAGCAUUGAACUGCUGGAGUUAAUGGGAGUGGUGAGAGAAAAUGGCAAUGAACUGACAUCACCUCCUCCUGUGAUCACCCCACUCUCACAUGAUUAUGUUCUGGUGGCCAAAACAAUCGACGAUCAGAAGAGAAUAGUGUUUAGGAAGCAAACGGAAUACAUCGAAGAACUGAAAAAGAAAAACUUCAAAAUCACAGUAAGUUCACGUAGAGGUCUAAGGUGGAUGAUGAAAAGUUGUAGCCUAGAUAAUACAUUAACUACGUUUUCUUUUAUCAAAAUGAUAAACGUAGAAUUCUAAAGGAGAAUUGUUAAAAACAAAAUUCGACAAAUUAAAUUUGAUUUUCAGUAUUGAUGAUUCCAUCUGGGUUUUAAUCCUGUAGAUCGCAUGUGUCAAACUUAUGGCCCAGGGGCCAAAUCUGGCCCUUUGGAGCAUCUAAUUCAUCCC
rnacentral:lncRNA from 1 species